CCGCGAACAUCAGUAGCUAGUUAGCUACAUGCCUUUCUUUAGAGAAGGUUCAAUCUCUGACUUCUCUAGCUACUUGGCUAGACUUGAUCGCAUUGUUUGUAAUAACAUUAUUUAGCGGCAAUUAGUUAUUUAAGACAACGUUAUCCUAUUCAUUUUGACCCAUUAUCUGGCAGUUUGAAUAAAACUAGCAAAUUAUCUCUGGUGACAGUCAGCUAGCUAGCUAAGCUAAAGUUAGCUAAAGUUAGCUAGCAACCGCGGUAGGAAAGGCAAGAAGGCACGAUCCGAAAUGGUCUGUUCGUGUUCGCAUGGGUCACCCGGACCAGAGCGGCUUGAUGAUCUGCGUCGCUUGUGUCAUUGAGAUGAUGGAAAGCAACAACGUUGUCGUAUGAUUUCUAACUAUUGAACAUGUUUUAUUGACCACAUAUUGGUAUUUCUGCUACAACAGCUAACAUGACAUGAGCUGCCAUCAACCCUUAUAUGCAUUUGGCUACCCCUGUGGUUCCAUCAUUUGUUUUACUCUGUGAGUGUCCAGGGUAUCUUGAAAGUCGCAAAUAAAAUGUAUUAUUAUUAUAAUGACAUCUCUUGCCCUUCAAUAGUCUGUGAGAAAGUCUGUGGCGCUGUCAGGGAUCAGUAGGGUCCUGAAGAGCUGUCCUGGGGCUCUGAAGGAGCUGCUACUACAGGACCACAGGGUCUGUCUGCAUUUCACAGCGUUUUUACUGGGGAUGCUUCACACAGUAGAGGACCCAGCCACUCUGGAGCAGGCCAUACAGGGUAAGAGGAAAGCUUAAAUGGCCUGAUUAUACACACGGCAGCUUGAGAAUGCUCACUCUUUACUGACUAAAUCAUAGUAUCUUUGUACUAUUGUCUCAACUUUUACCUCAUGUCACUACUUUCUAUAGCAUGACCAGGUUCAUUGGCUCUCAUCGUCUGGGUUGAAGAGAGAUAUGGGUUGUUGAGUGCCUCAGCAGAAUUGUUAAUUAGAGUGUUGCUGGUUAUGGAACCCCACAGGACCACUGUGUUGAAGCACUAACAAAAUCACUGUGUGCACUGCGCCAGGGUAAAGUGUGAAAUGCACAAUUUGUUUUCAAAACCGUGUCAAUUGAGCCCCAUGAAUAAUGCUAUGAUAAGUCUCUCUCUCUGUGUCUUGGUUCAGUGCUGGUUCAGCUGCUCUUGGAGUUACAGAGUGAACAGUAUGCGCGCUACAUCCUGGAUGAGAUACACACACACACACACAACUGUGUGACCAGUCCAGUGUGAGGGGUUUCCUGCCCACCUUCACCUUCUUGGGGAAGCUGGUAGAUGCUGUUCCUUCCCUGCACAGAGCCUGGCCUCCAGCCAUGUGUGUUUAUGUGUCUAUCUCAUUUCCUCUCCCCCCACCUCCCUUUUUUCAUUCUCUUCCUCUCUCCCCUCCUCGCUCCCCCUCUCUCUCGCUCCUGUGCCCCUGAUUGGAGCGGUUGUGCUCCACGCUGCUCUACCCAGACGAGGGUCUGAAGGCCUCAGUCAGGGAGCUGCCCAAUCCCUCCCCCCCAGAGACAGGGUGUGGUGUGUGUGCUGCUGAUGCAGACCCUGGCCCACGCUUGCUCCUCUCAGCUCACCAUCAACUGCCUGGGCUUCCUGAAGCAGCUGCUGAAGCUGGGUCAGCUGGUGUCUCUGCUGAUGAACAGCCCCUGUGAGCAGAUCCGGUCUGAUCUGGAUCAGAGCCUGGACCAGGACCAAGAGGCCCAGUCCAGCACACAGCUCUCCCUGGAGCGCUGCCCACUGCCACUCAUACUCAAAAAGUCUGAAGGAGGCCCUGAGGCUGACUAACGUGGAGGUGCAGAGACAGGGCCUGCUGCUGCUCACAGAGAUACUGGAGAGGCAGCCUGCGGGGGUGCGUCUGUUCCCCAGCGCUCCAGGGUUUGUGGCCGUGGCAGAGGUGGUGCUCUCAGGAGUCUGCUCCCCUUGUCUGCCACCGCCCUCCUCAGGGUGAAGCACCAGUCCAGCCCAGUACAGUACAAAGACCUGGAGAAGCUGGUGGAAGACAUUAUUGCUCGGUGCACUGAGCUGCCCUUACCUGCCUCCUCACGGUGCUGAGUGAGUCAGUCUCUGUCCACCUUUGUGUGUCAGCAAGGGGACAACUCCACUUCAUUUCAGGAAUCACCAUUGGAAAGGUUUCUUGUCUGUGUCCCUGUUACUCUCUCUUCCAGGUGAGCCUCAGAGGAGCUGAGCCCAGCAGCCAGGCCUCGAGAGAGGGAGGGUUUCUACUCCAGGCCCUGGUCUGUUUCCAUGCCGCCUGCAGGUUAGUGGAGCAGUGUUCGUCUGAGCCUGGCCUGAUCUGAGCCUGGCCUGAUCUGAGCCUGGCCUGAUCUGAGCCUGGCCUGAUCUGAGCCUGGCCUGAUCUGAGCCUGGCCUGAUCUGAGCCUGGCCUGAAGGAGAAUGGGUUCACAGCUCCAUCCAAGCAGGUUCAGGGUCAGGACCCGCUCGAGUCCCUGUGUCUGCUACACUGCUGUGACACUGUUUGCAUCCCCACCGUCACAGUGAGCCCUGCCCCGUGUGUGUGUGUGUAGAGGCAUUGUGAGCUCACCCCCAGCGCCCAGGUGCUCCAGCACUUCUUCUCCAUCCUGUCGUACCAGUUCUCCCUUCUACCCUCCCCCAUGCCCCUCUUCGCUGCCAAACUGGGGGAGGCAUGUUGUCCGGGGCAUCCUCUGGUUUCUUCAGGCUGGCUCUGGAGCACAAAGCUGUCCUCUGUGCAGGAAACAGAAACCCAGCUCUGAACGCAGUCUGCUGUGGUUUUCUGCAGAGGCUCAGUGUGUCUCUUCUGUCCCAACCAGACCCUGCAGCCAGCAUCCUCCCACGAGACUGUGAGGAGAUAGAGGCUGUGUUGAGGUCCAGCCUGCCCUCUCUGUGUUGUCGUGUGUGUGAGUGGCCCUCUCUGCUGUGAGUCCCCAGGGCCUCAAUGUGACCCUGCUGGCCCCAGGGCCACUCAGUACUGUCUGCUCACAUUGCUGCACCUGGCCCUGCAGCAUGGAGACAGGAGUAGGGAGACUCUGCCCUGCCUCCCUGUGUGCUCAGGUCUGCCCUCUACCUGCUGUCUGUCACACAGGACAAGAGCCCUGACCUGGACUGGCCUCCUCUAAACUGCAUCAGCAAGGCCCUGUCCUCCAGCCCCAGUUUCGCCUCCCUCUACAUCCACCACCCUCCACUCCUACACUUCCUCUUCUGCUACCCAGAGCUGGCCG